rnacentral:rRNA from 1 species
CCUACGGGUGGCUGCAGUGGGGAAUAUUGGACAAUGGGCGAAAGCCUGAUCCAGCCAUGCCGCGUGUGUGAAGAAGGCCUUCGGGUUGUAAAGCACUUUCAGUGGGGAAGAAAGCCUUGGGGCUAAUGCCCUCGAGGAAGGACAUCACCCACAGAAGAAGCACCGGCUAACUCCGUGCCAGCAGCCGCGGUAAUACGGAGGGUGCGAGCGUUAAUCGGAAUUACUGGGCGUAAAGCGCGCGUAGGCGGUCUGAUAAGCCGGUUGUGAAAGCCCCGGGCUCAACCUGGGAACGGCAUCCGGAACUGUCAGGCUAGAGUGCAGGAGAGGAAGGUAGAAUUCCCGGUGUAGCGGUGAAAUGCGUAGAGAUCGGGAGGAAUACCAGUGGCGAAGGCGGCCUUCUGGACUGACACUGACGCUGAGGUGCGAAAGCGUGGGUAGCAAACAGGAUUAGAUACCCUGGUAGUC